AUAACAGUUGGAAACGACUGCUAAUACCCGAUGUGCCGGAAGGUGAAACAUUUAUGGCCUGAGGAUGAGCUCGCGUCUGAUUAGCUAGUUGGAGUGGUAAUGGCACACCAAGGCGACGAUCAGUAGCUGGUCUGAGAGGAUGAUCAGCCACACUGGGACUGAGACACGGCCCAGACUCCUACGGGAGGCAGCAGUGGGGAAUUUUCCGCAAUGGGCGCAAGCCUGACGGAGCAAGACCGCGUGGGGGACGAAGGUUUGUGGAUUGUAAACCCCUUUUGAUUGGGAAGAAGUUCUGACGGUACCAAUCGAAUCAGCAUCGGCUAACUCCGUGCCAGCAGCCGCGGUAAUACGGAGGAUGCAAGCGUUAUCCGGAAUUAUUGGGCGUAAAGCGUCCGUAGGUGGCUAUUCAAGUCAGUUGUUAAAGCGUGGGGCUUAACUCCAUAAAGGCAAAUGAAACUGAUUGGCUAGAGUGCGAUAGGGGCAAGGGGAAUUUCCAGUGUAGCGGUGAAAUGCGUAGAUAUUGGAAAGAACACCGGUGGCGAAAGCGCCUUGCUGGGUCUGCACUGACACUGAGGGACGAAAGCUAGGGGAGCGAAAGGGAUUAGAUACCCCUGGGUAUUCAACGUAUCUCACAAAGUAUC
rnacentral:rRNA from 1 species